AGCUUUGGCGCAGUGGCAGUAUCGUGAAAUUAAGUGAGGUCAAUCCGAGGCGCGAUUAUUGCUAAUUGAAAACUUUACCUAAUACCCCGCCUAUGAUGACUUGAAAUAUGCCGCAUUGCAAUUUUUGACAGGCUCUGAGGAGU